UGGGGAAUAUUGCACAAUGGGCGCAAGCCUGAUGCAGCCAUGCCGCGUGUAUGAAGAAGGCCUUCGGGUUGUAAAGUACUUUCAGCGGGGAGGAAGGCGAUAAGGUUAAUAACCUUGUCGAUUGACGUUACCCGCAGAAGAAGCACCGGCUAACUCCGUGCCAGCAGCCGCGGUAAUACGGAGGGUGCAAGCGUUAAUCGGAAUUACUGGGCGUAAAGCGCACGCAGGCGGUCUGUCAAGUCGGAUGUGAAAUCCCCGGGCUCAACCUGGGAACUGCAAUCGAAACUGGCAGGCUAGAGGCUUGUAGAGGGGGGUAGAAUUCCAGGUGUAGCGGUGAAAUGCGUAGAGAUCUGGAGGAAUACCGGUGGCGAAGGCGGCCCCCUGGACAAAGACUGACGCUCAGGUGCGAAAGCGUGGGGAGCAAACA
rnacentral:rRNA from 1 species